UACGUAGGGGGCAAGCGUUGUCCGGAUUUAUUGGGCGUAAAGAGCGUGUAGGCGGCCAGGUAGGUCUGCUGUGAAAACUCGAGGCUUAACCUCGAGAUGUCAUCGGAAACCAUUUGGCUAGAGUCCGGAAGAGGAGAGUGGAAUUCCUGGUGUAGCGGUGAAAUGCGCAGAUAUCAGGAAGAACACCAAUGGCGAAAGCAGCUCUCUGGGACGGUACUGACGCUGAGACGCGAAAGCGUGGGGAGCGAACAGG
rnacentral:rRNA from 1 species